rnacentral:rRNA from 1 species
AGUGAACGCUGGCGGUAGGCCUAACACAUGCAAGUCGAACGGCAGCACAGGAGAGCUUGCUCUCUGGGUGGCGAGUGGCGGACGGGUGAGGAAUACAUCGGAAUCUACUCUGUCGUGGGGGAUAACGUAGGGAAACUUACGCUAAUACCGCAUACGACCUACGGGUGAAAGCAGGGGAUCUUCGGACCUUGCGCGAGUGAAUGAGCCGAUGUCGGUUUAGCUAGUUGGCGGGGUAAAGGCCCACCAAGGCGACGAUCCGUAGCUGGUCUGGGAGGAUGAUCGGCCACACUUGAACUGAGACACGGUCCAGACUCCUACGGGAGGCAGCAGUGGGGAAUAUUGGACAAUGGGCGCAAGCCUGAUCCAGCCAUACCGCGUGGGUGAAGAAGGCCUUCGGGUUGUAAAGCCCUUUUGUUGGGAAAGAAAUCCAGCUGGCUAAUACCCGGUUGGGAUGACGGUACCCAAAGAAUAAGCACCGGCUAACUUCGUGCCAGCAGCCGCAGUAA